UACGGAGGAUCCAAGCGUUGUCCGGAUUUAUUGGGUUUAAAGGGUGCGUAGGCGGGUCUUUAAGUCAGGGGUGAAAUCCUGGAGCUCAACUCCAGAACUGCCUUUGAUACUGGGGAUCUCGAGUCCGGGAGAGGUGAGUGGAACUGCGAGUGUAGAGGUGAAAUUCGUAGAUAUUGGGAAGAACACCGAUGGCGAAGGCAGCCAUCUGGACCGACACUGACGCUGAGGCGCGAAAGCGUGGGGAGCAAACAGG
rnacentral:rRNA from 1 species